UACGUAGGUGGCAAGCGUUGUCCGGAUUUACUGGGUGUAAAGGGCGUGUAGCCGGGUUGACAAGUCAGAUGUGAAAUCCUGCGGCUUAACCGCAGAACUGCAUUUGAAACUGUUGAUCUUGAGUACUGGAGAGGCAGACGGAAUUCCUAGUGUAGCGGUGAAACGCGUAGAUAUUAGGAGGAACACCAGUGGCGAAGGCGGUCUGCUGGACAGCAACUGACGGUGAGGCGCGAAAGCGUGGGGAGCAAACAGG
rnacentral:rRNA from 1 species